GUACUGACCGUAGGUCGGUGGUUCUUCUCCGGGUACUCUGGCUUUCCUCUACCUCCAAAACCUGGCACGUCCUUUAAUGACCCUGGCUGUUAAUAGGAUGAAAAACCAAACUAAACUGACAGUAGUUGAUUAAGUUCAUUGGAUUUCAUCGGUAUCCGGAGCUUAUAAAUAAAUCCAAUAUGACAUAGUCACGAGUGUAAGGUUUUCUAUUAAUAGCAUAUUUUUAAGAAUGUAAGUUAUGACUCGAAUUAAUUUCUAUACAGGAGACGAAAUUCGACACAGGCGACUGUUAUGUGAUAAAACUUGUUGAUACAGUACCUUUUAAAAUUUGACUCGUGACCUUAAAUAUGGGUCAAUUUAGUUUUUCCGCAAAUAUUGUUGGAUGUCACCCAAGGACAUACCAAAAAUACAUCUCUAUUCUGUGUGGUUUGAUUAACCAGAAGAAAGUGUUUGAGGGUGAACUUUGUAGGGCUGCCAUCCAUCCCAGGAAACCAGGCCAAAUAUCUCGAUUCAAGGACUUGUUAAUCAGAAGUAAUUGAUUGAAGGUUGCAACAAUUUGAAUACUGUGACAUUGAAUAAGGGUCAAGAUUAAUUCUUUUGGCAAACAUCCUAGAAUGUCGUCUAAGAAACCUACAAGCAAAAUGACUCAAUGAUAUGCCUUGUGGUUAACCAGAAGUCGUUAAAAUUGAGGGAAAAUAUUUAAGCUUUUAUGAAGAAGUCAUUUAAAGGACAGUGUUGAUGCAAAAAUGAGUAGGAUGCCGGACAUCCUACCAACCACAAUCUAAUUAAAAUGUAUUCUUAUCAGAUUAAGUAAUGAAACAUGUAGCCUGUUGAAUCCAUGUUUACUUUCCCCUCAAUUAGCCUGUACCACUCACUUUUCAUUAAUCAAAUUUUCAUGAACUUAUAAUAGUUGAACCAUGUAACCUUGAAAGAUAAUUAAGGCCUUCGAACCAAUUCAACAAACUUGUUGUUUUGAACCAUGUGACCUUGAAAAUGUAUCAAGGUUAUCAAUUCUAGCAUGUUACUUGAUUUUAGACCCUGAAGAAGUUGUAAGGAAAAAGGUUAACGCUGGGAAAACAACAGACUAUGCUCCAUGAUACAAGUUCACUUGCCCUAUAAACAGACAAAUGAAUCAAAAUGUCGAGGCCACUCAUAGGUGCUGUGCUCGAGGGAUUGAAAUACAGGAGAAAGGCAAACAUUAUAUAAAUAAAAAUGACAGCAAAAAAGACAUUUUUCUUGUCAUUUUAGUGCAUUCCUGAAUGUUUUACUGAUGAUUAUCCUGUCAUUUUAAGGAAUUGUUGUCAUAAAUGGUGACGAAUUACGGAUUUAAACCUCACUUGAAUUGGCAAACUAUGAUAAAUAAUAAGCUUAAUUCUUAGAUCGAUUGAUCCGUGAUGUCCGUCAUAUUCUUGAUAAACCACAUCGCAACAAUAUACAUGUACAAGAUUCUUGUGAACUACUCUGCCAGUUUAUUUUGGUUCCUAAGUUUUUAAAUUGUACUCAUUCCAAUGGGUUUUUUUUCUCUCCGUGUAAUAACUGUUUAGUAUCCUGAUUACAGAUAUGAUAACUUUAAUUUCGUUAGAAUAAACUCGUCUCGGAAAUUUCAUUUGUUGAAUUAGCCUAUACAGUGCCUAAUCAGUUCCGGUAACUUGAUGAAUUGCACGUUCAUGCAUGUUAUAUAUUUUGUCUAAGCAUGGAACACUUUGACCGAGUUCAAACAUGCAACCACUUAAUUGCUAUCGGAAUCUCUGUUGCAUUUUGUGUGGUCCAUUUCUCGGAAAUGACGAACCAAUCGGAAGUAUUUUUAGUAUGGAAUGUAAAAACAAUCGGAGAUUUCACUUAUCGAUUUCCAAUUGGAAAAUACGAGACUUUAUCGUAAUAGUCCAAUAGUAUUCGACGGGCGAGGGCCAGUUUUAUCAACCCAGAUCUAGAGCUCGAGGUGGCUUUCCAAUCCAUCAGCUAGAGUGGACAUGUAUACGAGUUACCUCCCCUCGCACAAUCCAGGAAGCAAGCACAAUUACUCCGGGAUAAAACAUGUAAUUGUGUACAAUUUAAUUUUUUUUCUAUAUUUUAUUAACCUUAAACAAAUGUCUUCAAACAUAUAAAAGAAUUAAACAUAAUAAUGACUUAAUCACAAACAAAUACUUCGUGGAAGGAGAAAAGAUUCUCUAGUGUGCCGUUAGCAUUUUUUGGGAAGAAUUAUUUCCAGUCCAUCCUGAACUCAUCAGGAUUAAUCAUAAAAAUGAUGGGUAAGCAACAUUUUGGACCUGUUCGUUUAUGCGGAUAAACCUGUUCGUCAGUUUUUAAAUGUAAUAUUUCAAACGUAUAUAUCUUCACGGACCUGCAAAUGUUAAUACAGGCCUUGGAAGUCUUUGUCAAGGCUCGUCUAAAAACAAUAUAAAAUCACCAGGUCUGUCUUUAUUUCAUAAACGAACAACACCAGUCCAACUGUAUGGACCGAAAAAUGCCUUUGAUUCCUCCCCGAGAGUUUUGAACGAAUUUGUUCUAGCGAAAUUUGGCGAUGAUCGCUUAAGAUUGCUGUUUCACAGCACGUCAAAGUGGACAGGCUGAUGGAAAAUCUGAAUACUAUAUACUUCAGCUAGCUUAAGUUAUCUGACUAUGUUUUGGUUCUGAUGCUAACCAACGGCGCCUGUCAUCAUGUUUCUCGCGGUGUUAUCCUCUAACAUUGUUGGAGUAAAUACUAGACUGUACAAAGCUCCCUAACAUGCUUUCCUAUUCGGAAACAAAAACAAACACAUUAGCACAUUUAUAUCAUUUACUCCAACACAUGGUAUACAUCUGUCAACACAAUCUAGUUUCUCACCACUGUACAAGUAGACACUUGUACACUUGCAUUUUGCAAUACAGAUGUAAAUUCUGUUGCAAAAAUGAUUCCACAGUAUUAGGGUGUCUUUAACACCUUCAACAAAAAAUUUUGAAUUAUGUUACCUCGAUUAUUCUUGUGGUAAACUAUCUAUUUCUACAGUGACUGAUAAACUUAGUAUAACUGACCGACGUAUCCAUGGUACCCAUUUACACAUAAUUUCCUUACAGUCACAGCUUUCACACUCUCAGUAAAACAAGAAAACUACAGCAACAGAAGGGUUUAUACACAAGGGAUUAUAUGCUGCACAAGAAACCAGCAAGUACAGUUACGAGCUUUGAUUUUACUGUUAUCAGAGAAGAUCAGGAGCAGUAAGAACACAUUUGAAAAACAGAAAGAAAGGAUUUGAAACAAUUCAUAACAUGACAUUCAAUUAAUUUGGAAAUUUAGGCCAUAAAGAUUACAUCUGCUAAUAAAAGUGUUUUGAUUUGGAAUAAAAUGAAAUCCCAUCAAGAACUUGACCAGAAAAGCACUGAAUGACUAAUUCAAUACGAAAUCAAGUUAUUACACUUUCAUAAAUAAAUCACUUCCAUAACAUUAAGUGAUAAAGUACCAGGAUACAGAGAAUUAUCUAUAAAUCAGUCAUAAACAUAUUGUCUUACUAUCUAGCGCCUUUUGCUAUAUAAACCAAGGCAAAUUGUGAUGGUCCCUUUUGUGUAUAUGAAGAAAAGUGAAAAGAAAUAAUGCUGAUAAAAUUCUAAAAACAUACUUAACACUCAGCAUUGAAUUAUAUUUAUAUUAUAAGGAAUUUAUACAUGAUUCAAAGAAUUGAAAAGCAAGAACAAAUACAUCAUUAUAUAUAAUAGAAUAUCUACAGUACAUUACAGUAGUUAUUUAUCACAGUUUGACAAAUAUUGUUCGACCCACAAUAUUGGUCCAACACAUUAUCUUCUCUUGCCAGCUAUAGUUUCUCAACUCUAUCACUUUAUAUAAUCAAAAAUCAUAUUGACAAAAAUUCUUA